GGGCGAAUAGCUCAGCUGGUUAGAGCACCUGCCUUACAAGCAGGGGGUCACAGGUUCAAAUCCUGUUUCGCCCA
rnacentral:tRNA from 1 species